GUCACACCCGUUCCCAUACCGAACACGGAAGUUAAGCUCUCUAGCGCCGAUGGUAGUUGGGACCUUGUCCCUGUGAGAGUAGGACGUCGC
rnacentral:rRNA from 3 species